UCAUCAUAUGAACCUUAACCCUAAUAUUAUGAACCCUAACACUACCUUUUUCCAUAUUUCACAUUCCCUCACCCAGAUCCACAUCAAACCGUGGUCGAUCCAUAAAUCGACCUUCCCUAAAACCCAAUCAAACCUCUAAAUCCUAAAAUCAACUUAAUAGUUCUCUAUCCUAACUCUAAAUCCUUUUUCAGUUUACCUCCAAAAUCAAACCAUAAACAAAAUUAUCACAAACAAACAAGCACCGAAAUUCAACAAUAUAUGUCAGGUUAUACUACGAAGCAAAACGGGGAACCAACCUAUGGAAUGGAGAAGUAUUUCGAUCAAUCGAGGUAAAUGAUCCUUCUGUUGUCUCUUUAUGCUUUAGCCUUCUCUUCUCUUUCUCUUUCUGACCGCUUCUAUUUUGUUCUGUGUGAGGUGUCGAUCUGUGUCGUGGUUUAGCUCAAGAGAGUUAGGGUUUAAAUGUUAAACCUUAACCUCUGUUUAAUGGGAGUUCUGGUGAAUGUUAAGGAUUGCAGAAGCAAUAGAUUUUUAGGUUUUUUUCCUCUCCUUAAUCCAUUUUUAGCAUUAGGUUAAUAUAAGUUAGAAAUUAGGCUAAAAAUUAGUUAGAUUAUCUGUUUUAGAAAGUUUAGAAUUUGAUUUGUAUCAGAUUGAUUCUAAAUUUGAUCUUGUAUGAAAAUAGAUCAAAUAUAUGUUUAACAUCGUCUCGGACGACAUUGUUGAUUCGUGGGAUCAAAUAUAUAUAAUGCCAUGAAAUAUUUACAAUAA